rnacentral:rRNA from 1 species
AUUGAACGCUGGCGGCAGGCCUAACACAUGCAAGUCGAACGAGUGGCGGACUGGUGAGUAGUUUCUGGGAAACUGCCCGAUGGAGCGGGAUGACUGCUGGAAACGUUAGCUAAUACCGCUUAACAUCAUAUGUGCCCAGAUGGGAUUAGGUAGUAGGUGGGGUAACGGCUCACCUAGGCGACGAUGCCUAGCUGGCCUGAGAGGAUGACCGGCCACACUGGAACUGAGACACGGUCCAGACUCCUACGGGAGGCAGCAGUAGGGAAUAUUGAGCAAUGGACGCAAGCCUGACGGAGCCAUGCCGCGUGAAUGAAGAAGGCUUUCGGGUUGUAAAGUACUGUUAGCGGGGAGGCGUUAUUCGAAGAGGAAGCAACGGCUAACUACGUGCCAGCAGCCGCGGUAAUUC